CUGAGCUAAUGUUUUGAGAAAUGGGAUGAAUUAAGUGUCGCAAUUUUACCUACAGCUUUUGCUUUAUUAUCCCUGCGAGAAAAUAGACAGCAGCCACAGUGGUUAGAGAAUGCUGAACGCUCAAUUUGUGUAUAAGGACUGAAGUCUAGUGUCUUCUCCCUGCUAUUUAUUCAGGUCCUGCUGUCCUCACAGCUCCGUGUCACAUUGUACCAUGAAACUCCAGGAUGUAUCUACAUGUGAAAUGAGGCCGUCGUGACCAAUGGUUGGAGUGAGCCGAGCUGAGAGGGAACACCAUGAGCAACGUCCACAAUGACUUCAUAUGAUGAUGAUGACUGCGGGGCUGUUUCCAGUGCCCCACAAACAGCCCUGUCGUGACAUACGAAGCACCACGGACGGCUCCUCACAAAAUUCACCCGCAAAAAAGGAGAAGAAUGGACAUAUCCAAAAGAGAAAACACACGACGUCUCCGCGUGACAAGUGCCCCGUAGACACAGCGACCCUCCGCCACGGCCCUCCCAGGCGCCAACCCACCUGUCCGGACGCCGUACUUGAGCGUGUCCCUGCAGUCCACCAGGAUCUGCUCCAGGGACUCUGGCUGGUCGGACAGCUCCAGGUUGAAGCCCUCCAUGCCCUC